rnacentral:rRNA from 1 species
GAUCAUGGCUCAGGAUAAACGCUGGCGGCGCACAUAAGACAUGCAAGUCGAACGAACUUAACCAUUAGUUUACUAUUGGAGCGGUUAGUGGCGGACUGGUGAGUAACACGUAAGCAACCUGCCUAUCAGAGGGGAACAACAGUUAGAAAUGACUGCUAAUACCGCAUAUGCCUUGAGUAUCACAUGGUACAAAAGGGAAAGGAGCAAUCCGCUGAUAGAUGGGCUUGCGU